rnacentral:rRNA from 1 species
AUGAACGCUGGCGGCGUGCCUAAUACAUGCAAGUCGAGCGAACAGAUGAGGAGCUUGCUCCUCUGACGUUAGCGGCGGACGGGUGAGUAACACGUGGAUAACCUACCUAUAAGACUGGGAUAACUUCGGGAUACCGGAGCUAAUACCGGAUAAUAUAUUGAACCGCAUGGUUCAAUAGUGAAAGACGGUUUUGCUGUCACUUAUAGAUGGAUCCGCGCCGCAUUAGCUAGUUGGUAAGGUAACGGCUUACCAAGGCAACGAUGCGUAGCCGACCUGAGAGGGUGAUCGGCCACACUGGAACUGAGACACGGUCCAGACUCCUACGGGAGGCAGCAGUAGGGAAUCUUCCGCAAUGGGCGAAAGCCUGACGGAGCAACGCCGCGUGAGUGAUGAAGGUCUUCGGAUCGUAAAACUCUGUUAUUAGGGAAGAACAAAUGUGUAAGUAACUAUGCACGUCUUGACGGUACCUAAUCAGAAAGCCACGGCUAACUACGUG